CUCCGCAGGGGAAAAUCAAGCGUUUCAACAUGGGGCCAUAGUCUAAAGGCAGCAGGCGGGCAACCAGGCUCCUCCAAUGCACAACGGUCUCGUCACAAUAGGCUUCCUCCUUCAAAGCCCUGUAACAGUAUUUGUUCUAUAUAGGACAUUGUAAAAAGUAUCCCAAAAACUCACACAGAAUUUCGAAAAUUCCAUCAAGUUCAUUCUAAAGACCUG